AGGAGAACUCCCCUCCCCAAAGGGUGAC
rnacentral:piRNA from 1 species